rnacentral:tRNA from 1 species
GCCUGGGUGGCUCAGUGGGUCGGGCGACCGACUUCAGCUCAGGUCAUGAUGUCACAGUUCGUGGGUUCAAGCCCCGCAUCGGGCU